rfam:Rattus norvegicus chromosome 14, whole genome shotgun sequence.
GGGGAUUUAGCUCAGUGGCAGAGCGCUUGCCUAGCAAGCGCAAGGCCCUGGGUUCGGUCCCCAGCUCCG